CGGCAGCCUACACAUGCAAGUCGGACGGCAGCAGGUCCUUCGGGAUGCUGGCGAGUGGCGGACGGGUGAGUAAUGCGUAGGAACCUAUCCUUUUGUGGGGGACAACCCAGGGAAACUUGGGCUAAUACCGCAUAAGCCCUGAGGGGGAAAGCGGGGGAUCUUCGGACCUCGUGCUGAAGGAGGGGCCUACGUCCGAUUAGCUAGUUGGUGGGGUAAAGGCCUACCAAGGCGACGAUCGGUAGCUGGUCUGAGAGGACGACCAGCCACACUGGGACUGAGACACGGCCCAGACUCCUACGGGAGGCAGCAGAGGGGAAUUUUUCGCAAUGGGGGCAACCCUGACGAAGCAAUGCCGCGUGGAUGAAGAAGGCCUUCGGGUUGUAAAGUCCUUUCGUGGGGGACGAAAAGGCGGAUCCGAAUACGGUCUGCUAUUGACGUGAACCCAAGAAGAAGCACCGGCUAACUCCGUGCCAGCAGCCGCGGUAAU
rnacentral:rRNA from 1 species